ACACACACACACACACACACACACACACACACACACACACAUACUUUUUGCUCUUGGAUACCCAAGAAGCCAACCUUUUGUUUAGACCGUAUGGGCAGUGUAUUGGAUUUGUACCUUAACACUGCUCCUAUAAUAAAGCGAAGAUUAUCUUUGGACUACUAACAAUUGAGUUUUCAAUAUAUUUCUCCCUACUGCCCUUUAAGAAGGGCAGUCCUGUUUCUUAAGUACAGAAGAAAUGCUUAUUAUUUAUGCAGGCUUUGUGCUCCCUCUGCUGGUUCUGUAAUUAACUAAUAAGUCUAAUUCCCAUAACUAUGCUGAUGUCAUCAAUUAUUUUUGCACACGGACGUGGAAUUAUCCAAAUCAGCAUGUUCUGUUCAGACAUCAUCAGGAAAAUGAGCAGGAGUACAAGGGAAUAUAUUCUUUUGCAGCCUGUGCCAAAUGAAUAAAUGUCCAGGUUGCCACUUAUUAUAGUUUAAGGAAAUGAUCGAUUCUAGCUUGCUUUGAUUAAAUUACAUAUUCAAUUAUUUUUGUUUGAAAUUAA
rnacentral:lncRNA from 1 species